AUGAGACACUGGGGUGCUCUGCUGGGGCUUCUGUGGGUCCAGAUUGGCUGGGUGAGAGGGAUGCAGGUGGAGCAAAGUCCUGGAUCCCUGAGUCUCCUGGAGGGAAACAGCUCCACUAUGAGAUGCAACUUUUCUACCACCAUGAACUAUGCGCAGUGGUUCCGACAGAACCAGGGGGGCGGCCUGGUCACCCUGUUUUACAUAGUUCCAGGGACUCCGAAGCAGGAGGGAAGGUUAACUGCCACACUGAACUUUAAGGAGCAGUACAGCACCCUGCACAUCAAGGGCGCCCAGCUGGAGGACUCAGCCACCUACCUGUGUGCGGGGGAGGCACAGUGCUCUGGGGUGAUGUGCAGCCUGUACCCAAACUGCAGCUGGGCCUCAGCCCCACCCCUUCCUGGGAGUGGGGGCAUGUCUAUGUUUCUGCAGGCUCCAAAAGAGAGGACAGUAAACUUUGUGGAUAAAUUAUUACAAAAUAAAGUUGUGUAUUUGAACUUUGCAAUAAGCUUUUCGGAGAGAUUGCAAUUCUCCAAAGUUUAG